GAUGAACGCUAGCUAUAGGCUUAACACAUGCAAGUCGAGGGGCAGCAUGAACUUAGCUUGCUAAGUUUGAUGGCGACCGGCGCACGGGUGAGUAACACGUAGGUAACCUGCCCAUGUGCCCGGGAUAAUUUCUGGAAACGGAAACUAAAACCGGAUAGGUAGGGAUCUCGCAUGAGGACCUUAUUAAAGGGGCUACGGCCCUGAACAUGGAUGGACCUGCGGUGCAUUAGCUAGUUGGUGGGAUAACGGCCUACCAAGGCGACGAUGCAUAGCCGACCUGAGAGGGCGAACGGCCACAUUGGGACUGAGACACGGCCCAA
rnacentral:rRNA from 1 species